UACGUAGGGUCCGAGCGUUGUCCGGAAUUAUUGGGCGUAAAGGGCUCGUAGGCGGUUUGUCGCGUCGGGGGUGAAAACACGGGGCUUAACCCCGUGCCUGCUUCCGAUACGGGCAGACUAGAGGUAUGCAGGGGAGAACGGAAUUCCUGGUGUAGCGGUGAAAUGCGCAGAUAUCAGGAGGAACACCGAUGGCGAAGGCAGCUCGCUGGGACGGUACUGACGCUGAGGCGCGAAAGCGUGGGGAGCAAACAGG
rnacentral:rRNA from 1 species